rnacentral:lncRNA from 10 species
AAAUUGUAAAAUAUUUUCCUCAGGUAUAUGCUGUUGAUAUUUGUGCAUUUUGGAAAGAUAUUAUAUAUUUGGAAAUCUUUAAAUAUAAAAAUAAUUUACAUGCUAAAAUUCUGAGAAAGUUACAAGAACCUUUAAAAUCCUGAGUAGAAUAUAAAGAAACAUAUGAGAACUUUCCAGGUACAAAAGAAAGCCAAAGGAAGAAUCCAGAAUGUAAUUAAACUAAGAAGCAAUUGUUCUUCUUAGAUAUGGGUGAACACACAAAUAAAAAAUUUCUGUGGGUUGUCCAACUUGCCAUUAGACAAAUGAAAAAAUAACAACAUAAGGGAGGAGGGAUAGCAUUAGGAGAAAUACCUAAUGUAAAUGACGAGUUAAUGGGUGCAGCACGCCAACAUGGCACAUGUAUACAUAUGUAACAAAUCGGCACAUUGUGCACAUGUACCCUAGAACUUUUAAAAAUCACCCUAAAAAAAAAUAAAAAUCCUUUUCUACAAAAAUAAAAAUAAAAGUAACAACAUAAACUAACUGCAGACAUUGCAAACGUAAUAUCUUUCACAAGCGAGAAACAAAUUACAACUUAUAUUACCCACAGUUACAGGACUUAGGUUUAAAAUGUUUAAUCCAACACAAUGGGGAAAACAGAAAAUAUACCAAUAAUGUGAAAAGUACAAGAAGCUACAAGGGUGACAAGUCAUAUUUGUUUGUUUUUUGUGCAUGUGGGGGUUUUUUUGUUUUGUUUUGUUUUUUUGUUUUUUGAGACAGAGUUUCACUCUUGUCGCCCAGGCUGGAGUGCAAUGGCAUGACCUUGGCUCACCACAACCUCUGCCUCCUGGGUUCAAGUGAUUCUCCUGACUCAGC